UGCCGCCGAGAACUUGUUCAAACUUGAUCAUUUAGAGGAAGUAAAAGUCGUAACAAGGUUUCCGUAGGUGAACCUGCGGAAGGAUCAUUAACGAAUCCAAUCUUACCUGCCUUAGCGGUAUACUUGAUGCUGUUCUUCGGGGUCGACUUUAUUGUCGUUAAAUCGCCAGUGGGAAAGGGUAAACUUCGGUUUACCUUGGCGUGCCCCGAAUUAGUUUUUUUCCCACGCAAACCUCUUAUGCCUUAACGUAUCAAAUCCUCGGACAGGAACUUCGGUUCUUGCACGAGAGUUAACUAAAAGCGAACAACUUUUAACGGUGGAUCUCUUGGCUCGUGCAUCGAUGAAGAACGCAGCAAACUGCGAUAAGUAAUGUGAAUUGCAGAAUUUUGUGAAUCAUCGAAUCUUUGAACGCAAAUGGCGCCCUUGGGUAUUCCCAGGAGCACGCCUGUCUGAGCGUCGUUUCUCACAUCCGUCACCGUAAGGUGUUCGGGCAAUGAGGUGUCCUUUUGCUGCAAAGCGAACGGUCCCUUGAAGUAGAGCGAUCCCGAGUUGUGCGGAAGCCCUUUUGUGGCCCGUCCCUCUCGGU
rnacentral:misc_RNA from 1 species